rnacentral:tRNA from 1 species
GGGGAUAUGGCGAAAUCGGUAGACGCUACGGACUUAUAAAUAAAACAUAUGAAGUCUUUGGAAUGACAAUUAGUAUCUUUAUUAC